CUGGUAUCUGGUAGAGUUGAGGAGGGCCAUGUCUCAAGCUUCCUCGAGUUGGUCGACCGCGUUCUCUUGAGUCUCUUUAUUUGAUUGCUCAUUGUAUGCUUUGAGUCGAGGGGAUCUAUACUCGAGGUCCGUUGGGAGUGUUGGGUAUUCUUAACAUCAUUACCAAAAGUAGACUAAGUUCUCUAAAUCUAGUAACGGUGCCA
rnacentral:lncRNA from 1 species